AAUAGAUACCCAGGUAGUCCUAGCCGUAAACGAUGAACACUAGGCGUAGUCGGUAUCGACCCCGGCUGUGCCGUAGCUAACGCAUUAAGUGUUCCGCCUGGGGAGUACGGCCGCAAGGCUAAAACUCAAAGGAAUUGACGGGGGGCCCGCACAAGCAGCGGAGCGUGUGGUUUAAUUCGUCGCAACGCGAAGAACCUUACCAGGGCUUGACAUGUGGCGGAAAACGGCGGAAACGUCGUCCUCCCGCAAGGGACCGUCAUGCAGGUGUUGCAUGGCUGUCGUCAGCUCGUGUCGUGAGAUGUUGGGUUAAGUCCCGCAACGAGCGCAACCCACGUGGCAUGUUGUAUCUCUCAUGCCAGACUGCCGAGAGAAACUCGGAGGAAGGUGGGGAUGACGCCAAGUCAGCAUGGCCCUUACGUCCUGGGCUACACACACGCUACAAUGGCCGGUACAACGGGUUGCCAAACCGCGAGGUGGAGCUAAUCCCUUAAAGCCGGUCUCAGUUCGGAUUGCAGGCUGCAACUCG
rnacentral:rRNA from 1 species